rnacentral:lncRNA from 13 species
AAAGCCUCCAAUCAGCACCACAUCCAAUCAGCCCCACCUCCAAUCAGCCCCACCUCCAAUCUGAUAGGCUGACACCUCUACAAUAUAUUAUUAAAAAGGCUCAAAAUGGAACCCCUCCCAUCACAACAAGGUUCUGGCGCCAACAUUUACACAGGGGUUCCUCGAAGACCCUUUUCAGAGAGGUUCCAGGUUCAACUGGAAAGGUUCGGCCAGUGUGGCAGCCCAGAAGCUGGUGGAGUGCCCAACUAGACCAACAUGGACCAAGACAACCAUCAGGAAGAUGGAGAACACAUUUAAGAAGGUGAAUAUGACUUAUCCAACCCUCUUACACAUCUCAACACGAUGCUUUAUGGCAAAACAAAACUCAUCUCUAGAUCUAAUUGACCUG